rnacentral:tRNA from 1 species
AGCAGUGUGGCCUAGUGGGCAGGGCAUGAGCCUGGGAGUUAGAGGUACCUGGGUUCUAAUUCCGGCUCUGCUA